UACGUAGGAUGCAAGCGUUGUCCGGAUUUACUGGGUGUAAAGGGUGCGCAGGCGGGUCUGUAAGUCAGAGGUGAAAGGCUGGAGCUUAACUCCAGAACUGCCUUUGAUACUGCGGAUCUUGAGUAUGGAAGAGGCAGAUGGAAUAUGUGGUGUAGCAGUGAAAUGCGUAGAUAUCACAUAGAACACCAGUGGCGAAGGCGGUCUGCUGGUCCAUUACUGACGCUCAGGCACGAAAGUGUGGGUAGCAAACAGG
rnacentral:rRNA from 1 species